AUUGAACGCUGGCGGCAUGCUUUACACAUGCAAGUCGAACGGCAGCGCGGGCUUCGGCUUGGCGGCGGUUGGCGAACGGGUGAGUAAUACAUCGGACCUUGCCCGGUGGUGGGGGUUAGCUCGCCGAAACCCGGAUUAAUACCCCAUCCGCCCUGAGGUUGAAACCGGGGGUUUUUCGGACCUCGCCCUUUUGGAGCGCCCGAUGGCAGAUUAGCUAGUUGGUGGGGUAAAGGCCUACCAAGGCGACGAUCUGUAGCUGGUCUGAGAGGACGACCAGCCACACUGGGACUGAGACACGGCCCAGACUCCUACGGGAGGCAGCAGUGGGGAACUUUGGACAAUGGGCGAAAGCCUGAUCCAGCAAUGCCGCGUGUGUGAUGAAGGCCUUCGGGUUGUAAAGCACUUUUGGCGGGAACGAAAAGGACUGUGCCAAUACCACGGUUCGAUGACGGUACCCGCAGAAUAAGCACCGGCUAACUACGUG
rnacentral:rRNA from 1 species